AUGCGCGCCGGCGCGGGCGUCUCUGGGACCGGAAGUGCGGGCGAGCGCGGGUCCCCGGGUCUGACAGGAGCAGCCUGCGGGCACCGCGGCGGUGAUUGGAGGCGGGAGAGGGUCCGGAGGUGGGAGAGGGUCCGUAGCCGCGCCGCCCUGCCCCGCCAUGGGCCUCCUGUCGGACCCGGUUCGCCGGCGCGCGCUCGCCCGCCUCGUGCUGCGCCUCAACGCGCCGCUGUGCGUGCUGAGCUACGUGGCGGGCAUCGCCUGGUUCUUGGCGCUGGUUUUCCCGCCGCUGACCCAGCGCACUUACAUGUCGGAGAACGCCAUGGGCUCCACCAUGGUGGAGGAGCAGUUUGCGGGCGGAGACCGCGCCCGGGCUUUUGCCCGGGACUUCGCUGCCCACCGCAAGAAGUCGGGGGCUCUGCCAGUGGCCUGGCUUGAACGGACGAUGCGGUCAGUAGGGCUGGAGGUCUACACGCAGAGUUUCUCCCGGAAACUGCCCUUCCCAGAUGAGACCCACGAGCGCUAUGUAUUGGGGGAGUGGGAUGGUGUCAGGCACCAAUGUGUACGGCAUCCUGCGG
rnacentral:sRNA from 1 species